UUGACGGUACCCUACUAGAAAGGAGCCGCUAACUUCGUGCCAGAAGCGUCGGUAAUACGGGGGCUCCAAGCGUUAUCCGGUGUUAUUGGGCGUAAAGAGUCGUGUAGGUGGUUGGGUAAGUUAUCUUUCAAAUAUCUUUGCUUAACAAAGAGGAGGGGGAUAAUACUGCUCGACUAGAAUUUUCUCAAGGGAGAUCGGAACUGAGGGAGGAGUAGUGAAAUGCGUUGAUACCCUCGGGAACACCAGUGGCGUAGGCGGAUCUCUGGGAGAAGAUUGACACUGAGACACGAAAGCUAGGGGAGCGAAGCAGAUUAGAGACCUGCGUAGUCCUAGCCGUAAACGCAUGCUUGCUAGCUGCAUGAAUCUACCUUCGGGUGGUAUCGUGUGGCGAAGGUAACCCGUUAAGCAAGCCGCCUGGAAAGUACGGCCGCAAGGCUGAAAUUCAAAGGAAUUGGCGGGGAGGCACACAACCAGUGGAACAUGUGGUUUAAUUCGAGACUAACCGAAGAACCUCACCAGGGUUUGACAUGUAGCUGCACGUCUUAAGAAAUUAAGACUCUCCUGAAGGUGCUACACAGGUGCUGCAUGGCUGUCGUCAGCUCGUUCCGUGAGGAGUGCCCUUAAGUGGGACAACGAGCGCAACCCCUAUUACAUGUUAGAAAUGUCAUGUAAGACUGCCUUGCCAUUUGGCGGGGAGGAAGGAGGGGCAGACGUCAAGUCCGCAUGGUCCUUAUGCCCUGGGCUACACACAUGUUACAAUGAGUACGGCAAUGAGUCUGUCGCGAGCACGUAAGUGUAAGCUAAUCUCUUAAAUGUACUCUCAGUGGGGAUUGAGGUCUGCAACUCGACCUCAUGAACACGGAAUUGGUAGUAAUCGCGGGUCAGCUAUACCGCGGUGAAUACGUUCUUGCCUCUUGCACACACCGCCCGUCAAACCAGCAAAGUCGAUUGUAUCCGAA
rnacentral:rRNA from 1 species